AUUAAUACUCGGUUGUUCUGACGGUACCCCAAGAAUAAGCACCGGCUAACUUCGUGCCAGCAGCCGCGGUAAUACGAAGGGUGCAAGCGUUACUCGGAAUUACUGGGCGUAAAGCGUGCGUAGGUGGUUGUUUAAGUCUGAUGUGAAAGCCCUGGGCUCAACCUGGGAAUUGCAUUGGAUACUGGGCGACUAGAGUGUGGUAAAGGGUAAUGAAAUUCCCGGUGUAGCAGUGAAUCCUAA
rnacentral:rRNA from 1 species